UCAGGCCUAACACAUGCAAGUCGAACGGGGAAAGUAGCAAUAUGAGUACUAGUGGCGCACGGGUGAGGAACACGUGGGUAAUGUGCCUUCGAGUGGGGGAUAACUAGUCGAAAGAUUAGCUAAUACCGCAUAAGACCACAGGAUCUGAGGAUCUAGGGGUCAAAGCAGCAAUGCGCUUGAAGAUCAGCCCGCGUAAGAUUAGCUAGUUGGUGAGGUAAUGGCUCACCAAGGCGAUGAUCUUUAGCUGGUCUGAGAGGAUGAUCAGCCACACUGGAACUGAGACACGGUCCAGACUCCUACGGGAGGCAGCAGUAGGGAAUAUUGCGCAAUGGGGGCAACCCUGACGCAGCGACGCCGCGUGAGUGAUGAAGGCCUUCGGGUCGUAAAGCUCUGUUAUAUGGGAAUAAGUU
rnacentral:rRNA from 1 species